rnacentral:ncRNA from 1 species
GGUUGGAUGAAUUUUUUAAUUCAUUUUCAAGAUCUGGCUUUUUAGGGUGGAAAGCU